rnacentral:tRNA from 1 species
GGAAAAAUGGUCUUAUGGUUAAGACAAUGGAUUGUAACUCCAGAGAUAUGGGUUUGAACCCAGCUCCA